CAUGCAAGUCGAACGAGGAUAUACCUUUCGGGGUAUAAACCGAGUGGCGCAAGGGUGAGUAACGCAUAGAUUACCUGCCUCUAGGAUAAGGACAACUUUGUGAAAACGAAGCUAAUACUUAAUAAUACAAGAGAGAAUAAUUCUUUUUUGUCAAUGGGAGGGUAGCAAUACCUUUUGCCUAGAGAGGGGUUUAUGUCCUAUCAGCUUGUUGGUGGGGUAAUGGCCUACCAAGGCGAAGACGGGUAGCCGGUCUUAGAGGAUGGUCGGCCACACUGGGACUGAGACACUGCCCAGACUUCUACGGAAGGCUGCAGUCGAGAAUCUUUCGCAAUGCCCGAAAGGGUGACGAAGCGACGCCGCGUGAGUGAGGAAGGCCUUCGGGUUGUAAAGCUCUGUCAGGUGUUAAGAAAUAUAAGUGUGCUAAUACCACAUUUAUUUGACAAAGGCGCCAAAGGAAGCCACGGCUAACUCUGUGCCAGCAGCCGCGGUAAUACAGAGGUGGCAAGCGUUGUUCGGAAUUAUUGGGCGUAAAGAGCACGUAGGUGGGUUCGUAAGUCAGAUGUGAAAGCCUUCUGUUCAACGGAAGAAUUGCAUCUGAAACUGCGAGUCUUGAGUGUAGGAGGGGAGAAUGGAACUUCUGGUGGAGCGGUGAAAUGCGUAGAUAUCAGAAGGAACGCCGGCGGCGAAAGCGAUUCUCUGGCCUAUUACUGACACUCAGUGUGCGAAAGCUAGGGGAGCAAACGGGAUUAGAUACCCCGGUAGUCCUAGCUGUAAACGAUGGGCACUAAGUAGAGGGAAUUACCGAUGUUCUCUCUGCCGUAGCUAACGCAUUAAGUGCCCCGCCUGGGGAGUACGGCCGCAAGGCUAAAACUCAAAAGAAUUGACGGGGGCUCGCACAAGCGGUGGAGCAUGUGGCUUAAUUCGAUGCAACGCGAAAAACCUUACCGGGGCUUGACAUGGUAGAAGUAGGAACCUGAAAGGGUAACGAACGGUAUCCAGUCCGUAGCUAUCACAGGUGUUGCAUGGCUGUCGUCAGCUCGUGUCGUGAGACGUUGGGUUAAGUCCCCUAACGAGCGAAACCCUUGUUUUUAGUUACCAGCGGGUUAUGCCGGGUACUCUAGAAAGACUGCCGUCGUCAAGACGGAGGAAGGUGGGGAUGACGUCAAGUCAUCAUGGCCCUUAUGCCCCGGGCUGCACACGUGCUACAAUGGUCGGUACAAACGGAAGCGAAGCCGAGAGGUGGAGCGAAUCCUAAAAAGCCGAUCUCAGUUCGGAUUGGAGGCUGAAAUUCGCCUCCAUGAAGUUGGAAUCGCUAGUAAUCGCGGAUCAGCAUUGCCGCGGUGAAUAUGUUCCCGAGCCUUGUACACACCGCCCGUCAAGCCACCCAAGCAGGAUGCACCCGAAAACAUUAUAUCUAACCAGGUUUACCUGGAGGAAAGUGUUGAAGGAGUGUUUUGUGAGGAGGACUAAGUCGUAACAAGGUAGUCGUAGGAGAACCUGCGGCUGGAUCACCUCCUUUCU
rnacentral:rRNA from 1 species